rnacentral:rRNA from 1 species
AGUGAACGCUGGCGGUAGGCCUAACACAUGCAAGUCGAACGGCAGCACAGUAAGAGCUUGCUCUUACGGGUGGCGAGUGGCGGACGGGUGAGGAAUACAUCGGAAUCUACUUUUUCGUGGGGGAUAACGUAGGGAAACUUACGCUAAUACCGCAUACGACCUACGGGUGAAAGCAGGGGAUCUUCGGACCUUGCGCGAUUGAAUGAGCCGAUGUCGGAUUAGCUAGUUGGCGGGGUAAAGGCCCACCAAGGCGACGAUCCGUAGCUGGUCUGAGAGGAUGAUCAGCCACACUGGAACUGAGACACGGUCCAGACUCCUACGGGAGGCAGCAGUGGGGAAUAUUGGACAAUGGGCGCAAGCCUGAUCCAGCCAUACCGCGUGGGUGAAGAAGGCCUUCGGGUUGUAAAGCCCUUUUGUUGGGAAAGAAAAGCAGCAGGUUAAUACCCCGCUGUUCUGACGGUACCCAAAGAAUAAGCUCCGGCUAACUUCGUA